rnacentral:rRNA from 1 species
GUCGAGAAUCUUCCGCAAUGGGCGCAAGCCUGACGGAGCGACGCCGCGUGGAGGACGAAGGCCUUCGGGUUGUAAACUCCUGUCACGAGUUAAGAAGGGCAUGCAGCGAACAGCUGUAGGCUUUGACGUAAGCUCGAGAGGAAGCACUGGCUAACUCUGUGCCAGCAGCCGCGGUAAUACAGAGAGUGCAAACGUUGUUCGGAAUUACUGGGCUUGAAGCGCACGUAGGCGGCGUUGUAAGUGUCGGGUGAAAUCCCACGGCUCACCCGUGGAACUGCCCGGCAUACUGCGAUGCUAGAGUGUGGUAGGGGAGAGCGGAACUCCUGGUGGAGCGGUGAAAUGCGUAGAUAUCAGGAGGAACACCGGUGGCGAAGGCGGCUCUCUGGUCCACAACUGACGCUGAGGUGCGAAAGCUAGGGGAGCAAACGGGAUUAGAAACCCGUGUAGUCC